CAAUAGCGUAUAUUAAAGUUGUUGCAGUUAAAAAGCUCGUAGUCGAACUUCGGGCCUGGCCGGGCGGUCUGCCUAACGGUAUGUACUGUCUGGCCGGGCCUUACCUCUUGGUGAGCCGGCAUGCCCUUCACUGGGUGUGUCGGUGAACCAGGACUUUUACCUUGAGAAAAUUAGAGUGUUCAAAGCAGGCCUAUGCCCGAAUACAUUAGCAUGGAAUAAUAAAAUAGGACGUGUGGUUCUAUUUUGUUGGUUUCUAGAGUCACCGUAAUGAUUAAUAGGGAUAGUUGGGGGCAUUAGUAUUCAGUUGCUAGAGGUGAAAUUCUUGGAUUUACUGAAGACUAACUUCUGCGAAAGCAUUUGCCAAGGAUGUUUUCAUUGA
rnacentral:rRNA from 1 species